CUGUUGGCUUGAAGUGAAAAAGGCUUGAGAUCCCACCUGAUGUCUCACAAGAUUACACUAUUUUAGUUGUCCUAGGAUAGGAAUUUGGUUCCCCAAAAAUUUGAACCAAACAAUAAUUGAUAGAGUUGUGAAGGGAGAUGAGAUGGAAUGCAUGAAAGCAUUUGUGAAACUUGUGAUGUGAAAAGAAUGAUCAUAAAAAUAUAUAGUAUGAAGUUGAAAUAGCCUGUGGCUGCGAAUAGAAAUCCAAAAAUGAUUGCAAGAAAUGUAUAUUUGUUGAAGCAUGUAUUUGACAAGCUAAGUCAAUGAUGAUGGAUAUAUGGUUGAAGGUAUAUGGUUUAAGGUUGUGGCUGAAAUAUUUUUUGACUUUUGAGUGUUAUCCUGUUUCACAGUGGUCAAUC